GAUGAACGCUGGCGGCGUGCCUAAUACAUGCAAGUCGAGCGAACAGACGAGGAGCUUGCUCCUCUGACGUUAGCGGCGGACGGGUGAGUAACACGUGGAUAACCUACCUAUAAGACUGGGAUAACUUCGGGAAACCGGAGCUAAUACCGGAUAAUAUAUUGAACCGCAUGGUUCAAUAUUGAAAGACGGUUUUGCUGUCACUUAUAGAUGGAUCCGCUCCGAUUUAGCUAGUUGGGAAGGUAACGGCUUACCAAGCGAACGAUCCGUAGCCGACCUGGGAGGGUGAUCGGCCACACUGGAACUGAGACACGGUCCAGACUCCUACGGGAGGCAGCAGUAGGGAAUCUUCCGCAAUGGGCGAAAGCCGGACGGAGCAACGCCGCGUGAGUGAUGAAGGUCUUCGGAUCGUAAAACUCUGUUAUUAGGGAAGAACAAAUGUGUAAGUAACUAUGCACGUCUUGACGGUACCUAAUCAGAAAGCCACGGCUAACUACGUG
rnacentral:rRNA from 1 species